rnacentral:rRNA from 1 species
CCUACGGGAGGCAGCAGUGAGGAAUAUUGGUCAAUGGACGAGAGUCUGAACCAGCCAAGUCGCGUGAAGGAUGACGGUCCUAUGGAUUGUAAACCUCUUUUGUAUGGGAAUAAAGUGUUCCACGUGUGGGCUUUUGUAUGUACCUUAUGAAUAAGGAUCGGCUAACUCCGUGCCAGCAGCCGCGGUAAUACGGUGGAUCCGAGCGUUAUCCGGAUUUAUUGGGUUUAAAGGGUGCGUAGGGGGGUUGUUAAGUCAGGUGUGAAAGUGUGGGGCUCAACCGUAAAAUUGCAGUUGAAACUGGCAGUCUUGAGUAGAGUAGAGGUAGGCGGAAUGCGUGGUGUAGCGGUGAAAUGCAUAGAUAUCACGAAGAACUCCGAUUGCGAAGGCAGCAUACUGGACUGCAACUGACACUGAGGCACGAAAGUGUGGGUAUCAAACAGGAUUAGAUACCCGUGUAGUC